CAUCAAUACUACUGACACAGUGCUAACAAAUGAUAAGGCAGCAAAACAAUAUCCGGAAAUGCCAUUGUUUCUACUGUGCAAUUAAUUACAGUUAUGCCCGUGUCUUAUGCGAUUCGCCACGGUAGUUUAUGGGGAACCUGUUGAGCGAACGCGCCAAAAGUGGUUUGGCUUGGAAGAGGAAGAAGAUUGGAAGUAUGACUCGACGAAGAUUGUUGCUCAGCAAAGCAGAGAUCGCAAAAUCUUAGGAAGUAACCCAAGAAGCCACUUCAAAACGUUUAAAAGCAGCUCUGUCAAUUGGGUCAGGCACCGAAUAUUCAUGACGCCAUGCUCUUUAUUUGGUGGGAUAACAAGGAUGGCUCUAAAACCGCGUGAAGCCAUUAACGAGGAAACUACAGAGUGACUGCAAAAACACGUCUGGAAUUCGCGAUUAGCCACGAAGUAAUAACUGAUCAUGAUGAACAAGCACGGCCUCGUGUUACAAGACUAGUUAAAAUUUAUUUAGAGGAAGUGGCUUGAAAUUUUUAUCUCAAACACUUUAUAGCCCAGAUCUUGCUCAAUCUGACUACCAUUUGUUCGAUGCAGAAUGCUCUCACUGGAAUGAGGUUCAAAUCAGAACAGGCUAUUAAAAUUAGAUUGAUUUAUUCUUGGCCGCCAAGAUAACAAAAUUCUUUUGAAAUGUAUUUCAUGAUUUUCCAGAAGGAUAGGAAAAUUUUAUAGUUGAAGGGCAAUACUUUGAAUAUAUAAUAUAUGAAUGGGGCUUUUAAAAGGGACACCAAAAAAGUAGACCGUAGGGGACGGCAAAGGAAUAUUUCUCUUCAGUAAGUGAGACAAAGAAGUGCCCGUAGAGUAGAGAAUAUUCCUACCGCUAGCGCAUCGAUUGAGGAAGAUCCAAAUCAAUCUCACACGUCGUUCUCAAUUCCAAGAAAAAAAAACCCUAUAUUUAAAUACCCGUUAUAUAUUUAUAAAAAAAAGUUCCGAUUUUGAAGAAAAGAACCGUCCGAAUAUAGUUCUAGAUUCAAUAUUUUCAAACGAAGAGCAAAUAAAAAGUCGAGAAUGGAGUCAACAUGUUUUUACUGACUGUUUCCCUCUUCGGGAAAAAGGAAUGUUACACUUUAUAGGAAAACAAAGAGCUCUGACGAUGCUGUAUCAGUUGGUGUAGCAGAACAAUAAUUCGCUUGUUUCUGUUCUGGAAAUUUCUAUGUGAAAAAUGCACCUCGCUCUGAUCGAUUUAUCGUUGAAAAAGGCGAUGAAAUUAUGGAAAAGAUUGACCAGGACCGUCACAUAAGCAGCCAUGACAUAGCUGAGGAACUUAUUAUUCAUAAUCAAACGGUUUUGAGCCAUUACAAAAAGAAGCUCGAUGUUUUAGUACCACAUGAAUUGUCUGUGCAACAUUUAAUGGACCGAAUUAACAUCUGCGAUUCCUUGCUGAAACGUAAUGAUAUCGAACGAGAGAUAGGAGACGAAAAGUGAAUCAAA